UACGUAGGUGGCAAGCGUUAUCCGGAUUUACUGGGUGUAAAGGGCGCGCAGGCGGCCUCGCAAGUCUGAUGUGAAAGCCCACGGCUUAACCGUGGAGGGUCAUUGGAAACUGGUCGACUUGAGUGCAGAAGAGGGAAGUGGAAUUCCAUGUGUAGAGGUGAAAUGCGUAGAGAUAUGGAGGAACACCAGUGGCGAAGGCGGCUUCCUGGUCUGUAACUGACACUGAGGCGCGAAAGCGUGGGGAGCAAACAGGAUUAGAUA
rnacentral:rRNA from 1 species